UGGUUGAAGCAAUUUAAUUAAAUAUUGUGAAGUUGGCAGCACUGCUGCUGUGGAAAUCCCUUUACACCUGGAACAGUGUUCGUCCUGCCGUGACAGAACAAUGACGUCAAGUGAAGCCUCUACCGGUGUUUUAAAACUGUGGUGGAAGUUAAAGUGGACACAGGGUAACGACCGAGCGCACAGUCCAUUGGAAUAAACUGAGAGACAAAAACCCAGCUGCAGAUUCUCAGCGAGGACUGAACAGCACGUGGAGAGCCUUUCUUUGCACAUUAAGUGAAGCUGCAGGAGACGGUGAAGAGUGAAGCUACAGCAUUGUUCUUAGUACAGUAUCACCGUAUCUAUUAGUUUGUAUUAGUAAAGCAUCACGAUGGUGGGAGCUGGAAUCACUGCUGAACAGUAGACUGUAUGCAGUGUGUCGUACAGGCACGCUAACUGAUCCCUUUAGGGGUUAAACGUCACCACAACGCUGUUGAACCCGCUCGGCACAAUGCAAUUUCUGAUUCCAGUAACAUGGACAAAGAUGCAGAGAACAUGGAUGAAAUGUCCAUCUCCCCUGCAUUCUCCAUGAACUCAGUGACAUCUGAGACUACCGACCAAUUCUUUGACCAGGCUUUGGCGGAUCUUGAUGAGCCAAUGCUUUGGGAUGAAGUUUUAGAGAACAAAAAGGAUACUUGCUCAAGGAUCGAUUCAAACAGAGAGGAGAGUGAAAUUACAUUUCCUUCUUCUAGGUGUUCCUCCCUUGAUUCAGACAUCUCAGAUAUGGUCACACCUAUGGUCAUACCAUAUGAUCAGAACGUUGACGAGACAAUUACAAACGUAUGCCACAGCUACUUGUAUCCAGAAAACCUGGAGACAGAGGCGGAUGAGCUGACCAAGACACUGGAGGUCACUGAGCUGACCAAGACACUGGAGGUCACUGAGCCGACCAAGACACUGGAGGUCACUGAGCCUACCAAGACACUGGAGGUCACUGAGCCUACCAAGACACUGGAGGUCACUGAGCCUGCCGAAACACUGGAGGUCACUGAGCCUACCAAGACACUGGAGGUCACUGAGCCUACCAAGACACUGGAGGUCACUGAGCCUGCCGAAACUCUGGCGGUCACUGAGCCUACCAAGACACUGGAGGUCACUGAGCCUACCAAGACACUGGAGGUCACUGAGCCUACCAAGACACUGGAGGUCACUGAGCCUACCAAGACACUGGAGGUCACUGAGCCUACCAAGACACUGGAGGUCACUGAGCCUGCCGAAACUCUGGCGGUCACUGAGCCUACCAAGACACUGGAGGUCACUGAGCCUGCCGAAACACAGUGGAAGAGGUGUUUCAGUAGAUGGCAGAAGAAGAGGACUCAGCCAUUUCCACUUGAACAUUUGGAUGCGGCCGUAAGGUCUGACUUGAUAUCUAGGAGAGCUGGAGAGAGCAAACAGGGCUCUCUUUGUUCUCAAGUGACACCCUCCAACACCUCCUACAGAGCAGCCCUAAGGUCCACUCCGCUAGAGAUGGUGGACUACAUGGAGGAUCAAGAAACCUUCAGACGGAGCUCUGUUGACGAGUCUCAGACUGACUCUGAUUGUCUCAGUAAUAACCAAAUUGAUGUUAUGGAGACCAAGACAAAGGGGAGCAACCACUUCUGCAGCUUCUUCCACAAUAUCUUCUCAAAGAAGGAAAAGAAGGAGAAGGCUUUAACAGGGAGUCUGACCAAGCAGCCUCCUUUUUGGAUGCAACUGUUGUGCUGCAGUUGCCUUGACAAGUAAAGAACAAGAUCAGGACCAACUUCAGCCACUCCACAUCUAAUGCCCCCUCUUCUCCCUCCCCCUCUCCCUGGCUUUACAUGAAAUAAAGUCAAUGAGAUAUGCAUUGUGCU
ensembl:lncRNA